UCUUCUGACAAAGUGGACCUUACUUGUGUUGUGCAAUGUUUUGCCAUUACACACCACAAGUCAAUUCCCUUGAGGAAAAGAAUUCUUUGUUUGAGUUGUAUUUAUCCAAUAUUCAUUUGUCUUCUUGUGUGCAAUUUUUGAACCAGUAAAAAAAAAAGACACAUGGUUUGUAAUGGGAAAAUAUUGCACCACAACAAAUAAGGUAUAUUGCUGUACCUUAUCACCAGAAUGCUUUCUUUUUCCAGGUACAGGUAAUGGCUUGUUUUGGUCAACAGAUUUAACAGAUGAUGGUGCCUUUCAUUCACAAAGAUAAAACUCCUGUCAUUAUUCGCCCGGCACGUAACACCUGGAUCGGAACCCAUCUUUGUGCUGACUGAAGUGAUUACUUGCGAGCUGGCGAUUCGAUGUACUGUUGAGGCUGGUAAAAGAGUUAGAGAACUCAUAAUUUCUAGCCCAGAGGUAGAUGUAGCUCACAUUCCGUGGAAAUGUUGUUCUAGAGAACGAAACAACUGAUCUGAAGUUGAUCAACUUAUUUUUGUAAUCGAGCGGGAAAAAUUUGCUGAAAGGAUCACGUGUGGAAUGUCGUACGAUGGACAAGCGAUAAAGCGACGAACUUUGUUCGAACUUUGUCGCUAUUUCUUCGUGAACUUAUCGUACAAGCGUUGACGAGCGAUUAAUAUAUGCUUUUCAGGAAAGUUUAUUAAAAAAAUCAAAAUAAAAGUAAAAA